rnacentral:rRNA from 1 species
GAUGAACGCUGGCGGCGUGCCUAAUACAUGCAAGUCGAGCGAACAGAUGAGGAGCUUGCUCCUCUGACGUUAGCGGCGGACGGGUGAGUAACACGUGGAUAACCUACCUAUAAGACUGGGAUAACUUCGGGAAACCGGAGCUAAUACCGGAUAAUAUAUUGAACCGCAUGGUUCAAUAGUGAAAGACGGUUUUGCUGUCACUUAUAGAUGGAUCCGCGCCGCAUUAGCUAGUUGGUAAGGUAACGGCUUACCAAGGCAACGAUGCGUAGCCGACCUGAGAGGGUGAUCGGCCACACUGGAACUGAGACACGGUCCAGACUCCUACGGGAGGCAGCAGUAGGGAAUCUUACGCAAUGGGCGAAAGCCUGACGGAGCAACGCCGCGUGAGUGAUGAAGGUCUUCGGAUCGUAAAACUCUGUUAUUAGGGAAGAACAAAUGUGUAAGUAACUAUGCACGUCUUGACGGUACCUAAUCAGAAGGCCACGGCUAACUACGUG